AAUUGGAGUGAUGAAAGUUCUACCUUAGGUAGAUGCAACAGACCGUUUUGGUCACUUACCGUGUCUGCCAAUGCUAGGGUGCGUCAUAGUUACACUGACCACAU
rnacentral:snoRNA from 1 species